UGGGUUGUAAACUGCUUUUAUAAGGGAAUAAAGUGAGUCUCGUGAGACUUUUUGCAUGUACCUUAUGAAUAAGGACCGGCUAAUUCCGUGCCAGCAGCCGCGGUAAUACGGAAGGUCCGGGCGUUAUCCGGAUUUAUUGGGUUUAAAGGGAGCGUAGGCCGGAGAUUAAGCGUGUUGUGAAAUGUAGAUGCUCAACAUCUGAACUGCAGCGCGAACUGGUUUCCUUGAGUACGCACAAAGUGGGCGGAAUUCGUGGUGUAGCGG
rnacentral:rRNA from 1 species